GAUGAAGAACGCAGCGAAAUGCGAUAAGUAAUGUGAAUUGCAGAAUUCAGUGAAUCAUCGAAUCUUUGAACGCGCAUUGCGCCGGCCAGUACUCUGGCGGGCAUGCCUGUUCGAGCGUCAUUACAACCCUCAGGCCCCCGGGCCUGGCGUUGGGGAUCGGCGGAGCCCCCCGUGGGCACACGCCGUCCCCCAAAUGCAGUGGCGGUCCCGCCGCAGCUUCCAUCGCGUAGUAGCUAACACCUCGCGCCUGGAGAGCGGCGCGGCCACGCCGUAAAACACCCAACUCUUCUGAAGUUGACCUCGAAUCAGGUAGGAAUACCCGCUGAACUUAAGCAUAUCAAUAAGCGGAGGA
rnacentral:misc_RNA from 1 species